rfam:Gossypium raimondii Chr10_contig_16, whole genome shotgun sequence.
AAUUAAAAUUUUCAUCCUUUUACAUUGUUAAAAACUAGCGUAGCUAACAAAAUAACCAGACAGUGACAUGUGAGAUGCCACGUGUAGCUCAUGCUGACGUACAAGAAUCAAUUUUUAACAGCAGAAAUAGGUAAAAUUUUAAUA